rnacentral:rRNA from 1 species
AUUGAACGCUGGCGGCAGGCCUAACACAUGCAAGUCGAGCGGAUGAAGGGAGCUUGCUCCUGGAUUCAGCGGCGGACGGGUGAGUAAUGCCUAGGAAUCUGCCUGGUAGUGGGGGAUAACGUCCGGAAACGGGCGCUAAUACCGCAUACGUCCUGAGGGAGAAAGUGGGGGAUCCUCGGACCUCACGCUAUCAGAUGAGCCUAGGUCGGAUUAGCUAGUUGGUGGGGUAAAGGCCUACCAAGGCGACGAUCCGUAACUGGUCUGAGAGGAUGAUCAGUCACACUGGAACUGAGACACGGUCCAGACUCCUACGGGAGGCAGCAGUGGGGAAUAUUGGACAAUGGGCGAAAGCCUGAUCCAGCCAUGCCGCGUGUGUGAAGAAGGUCUUCGGAUUGUAAAGCACUUUAAGUUGGGAGGAAGGGCAGUAAGUUAAUACCCUGCUGUUUUGACGUUACCAACAGAAUAAGCACCGGCUAACUUCGUG